GCGCUAGUCUUUGUCCUGGGCAUGACGUUAAAGUACAUCCGGCAGUGGAGGCUCCUCUAUGGGGGUCUUGGGGCACUAGGAGGUUAACCCCUUUACUACUGUUACCCCAGGUGGCCCUUGGCAAAGGCCUAGUACCUGACUGCCCCCUAGCCAGGGAUACGGUGAAGACCUCAACGGUGGAGCAGGCGGAAGACGGUAGAUUUAAAAACUACCACAACGGCUGCGAUGCGGAAGAAGGCUGCAGCAGAAAAGGGUCCCCAGUCGUCUGGGACUUCAUGCCACUGGGACCCUGACCCGAUUCUGUCAAGGAUCGUGUGGUGACUGUCUGUGCACCAGUCUCCCCACGUAAAACAAAGUCACGCACAGGCAUCCCCCAUAAAGGGAUACACCCCUACCAGGAGGAUCGUCAUGCUCGUUCGAGUGACCGCCGCUGAAGAUGAGUGCAAAUGUGGUCUUCUUCUGGCAAAACACUCCCACUUUUGUCCACUGGCACCGCCAAAAUCAACCAAAACUGAAAAGUUCUCAAGUCGGAGCUUCAAAGGGAUAAAGUUCUAAACGGUUUUGGGAAAAGUCUUACUUUUUUUUUUUUUAAAGUUUAUGAAGAUUAGGGAAACAAAUACAUUUGCACCUUGGUUUUGGGACGCCUCACUUGAUACUGUCUUCCAUCUGAGUUUGUUAUUUUAUAAACCGCCAUUUUAUUGUUUUUGUUAGUUGUCAUGUUUCCUCCCAUGUUAAAGUUAAAGUACCACUGAUAGUCACACACACACUAGGUGUGGUGAAAUUACCCUCUGCAUUUGACCCAUCCCCUUUUUCCACCCCCUGGGAGGUGAAGGGAGCAGUGAGCAGCAGCAGCGGUGGCCACGCUCGGAAAUCAUUUUUGGUGAUUUAACCCCCAAUUCCAACCCUUGAUGCUGAGUGCCAAGCAGGGAGUGUGAUCCAGUCCAACACAAUCAGCCAAGUUCAGCUCCAAUUUUAUUACCUUGCCAGGAUGACAUGAUACUACAUUACGAGGCAUGCACACAGGUCAUGUUACCGCCAUUAAAUGGAAUACAGUGCAUCAUUAAAAGCCUUUACUCUGUGUGUUAAGGCUUUUUUUUCUUCUUUUUUUUUUUUUUCCGGUCACAGUGUGAGUCUUCGUUCCGUUCUUCCCUCCCAGGACUCCAAAGCUAAACGCACAAGUGGGAGGAUGUUUGCAGUGACUAAACCAUCGUGAGUCACUCUUUUUCUCUUGACAUGAUUAGUACGAUACUUAACACGUUUUUUUUUCUCCUUCUCGUUAUGUACAGACAUUCAAAUACUUGGCAUGGCAAUAGGACGGCUCACACGACACGGUUACAUUCACUUCAGUCCGGAACGGCAAUGAUCAACACACACAGCAAAAAGCAGACAGACACACAUGUUUGUCCAUACAGAUAUACCCACGAACAGCGAUCUACAAAAAGGGCAAAUAUUAAAAGCACUGUUACGGUUCAAACACCUGCCGCCCCUCACCCUGCUGUGUGGUCCGCUGAGCGCGCCUCGGGACACGCCCAUGGGCGUUCUUCUCCUGGAGCAGCCGCGCCUCUGCCUUCUUAAGCCAGCGUGCCCUGCGUUCCAGUGCCAGAACGUAGCCACUUGUACCAGUACAGUAAGCCUUACACGUCUCUAGCUUCCUUGCCUAUGUCCCCUCCUUUGUGCUCAUCGUGUCUUGUCCUGUGUCGUCAUCCAGCAGCCCCUUCGUCAUUCCCUGGUUUCGAGCUGUGUGUCUCGUCUCCCCGGAUCCCUUCUGGACUUCCUGCUGCCUUCCCGGACCUCGACCUCACGCCUUCCCCCGGACAACGACGCCUCGCUCCGGCCCCUGACCAUCUGCCUGUCCCCGGACCCCCGAGCCUGCCUUGCCCUUUCUGGACUUCCGCACCGAUCUCAACACGCACCUUCAACACCACCUGGUAACACUCAACAUAUAAUCGCUUCACAUAGUCACACUAUAUAUAUUUGGAUUAGUCACACACUUCAUUCUUGGAUAUUUCAAUAAACACGGUGCAAGCUAAACGACGUGCUCCCACUGUAGCGUUACAAGCACAAUGGCGGCUUUUAAGGAGAGAAAGUCCAACUACGCCAAGCAAGUGUGACGUCAUGCUCGCUGCAGCUCUCUUUUCGUCGGCGACAUCGAGGGACAGAAGUAGAGUCUCUAAACACAAGUACAGUCUAUAAUAACACCAGAAAUGCUAGAUUUGUUCCUAGUCGUUUCUAAUAAAGAAAAAUACACUUCAGACAUUUUAAACAUUAUCAACUAACUACAUUUUCCAAUAAGCAACAAUAAUUGAUAAUAGAGCAAAACGAUAUAAUAUAAGAUAUAUGUUAUUACUCAUUAAUAACACAGAUUUGUUUUAACUGUAUAAUUUUUUUGAGCCUUUUUAAAGAUGAUUUUCUUUAUCAUCAUAGCAAAUUAUGCAAAUUUUACGAUGACGUCAUGCUGACCACGCUCCUAACAACGCUUCCACCGCCACAGGGAUCUUGGCAAUCUAGGGGAAACCCUGCCAAGGUUCACCUUCGGUUUUGUUGGACUAAAGCCCAAGCAACCCUUUUGGAGGGGUAACAGGAUGGACGAAAG